rnacentral:rRNA from 1 species
UACAGAGGUCUCAAGCGUUGUUCGGAUUCAUUGGGCGUAAAGGGUGUGUAGGUGGCGCGCUAAGUCGGGUGUGAAAUCUCGGGCUUAACUCCGAAACUGCAUUCGAUACUGCCGUGCUUGAGGACUGGAGAGGAGACUGGAAUUUACGGUGUAGCGGUGAAAUGCGUAGAUAUCGUAAGGAAGACCAGUGGCGAAGGCGGGUCUCUGGACAGUUCCUGACGCUGAGGCACGAAGGUCAGGGGAGCAAACGGG